UCUGAAUUUCAAAUAUCAACCAAAGAAAGAGCCCCCUGGGAAACAACUAGGAGAAAGUGGGACCCAAAAGGGGAGGUGGAAUUUUUUUU